UGGGGAAUUUUGGACAAUGGGGGCAACCCUGAUCCAUCAAUGCCGCGUGUGUGAAGAAGGCCCUUCGGGUUGUAAAGCACUUUUGUCCGGAAAGAAAACGCCGUGGUUAAUACCCCGUGGCGGAUGACGGUACCGGAAGAAUAAGCACCGGCUAACUACGUGCCAGCAGCCGCGGUAAUACGUAGGGUGCAAGCGUUAAUCGGAAUUACUGGGCGUAAAGCGUGCGCAGGCGGUCCGCUAAGACAGAUGUGAAAGUCCCCCGGGGCUUAACCUGGGAACUGCAUUGGUGACUGGCAGGCUAGAGUAUGGCAGAGGGGGGUAGAAUUCCACGUGUAGCAGUGGAAAUGCGUAGAGAUGUGGAGGAAUA
rnacentral:rRNA from 1 species